rnacentral:rRNA from 1 species
AACGUAGGUUCCGAGCGUUAUCCGGAUUUACUGGGCGUAAAGCGCGUUCAGGCGGUUUGACAAGUCGGGCAUGAAAUCUCUCGGCUCAACCGGGAGAGGUUGUCCGAUACUUUCAGACUUGAGGGCAGUAGAGGGUGGUGGAAUUCCGGGUGUAGUGGUGAAAUGCGUAGAGAUCGGGAGGAACACCUGUGGCGAAGGCGGCCGUCUGGGCCGACCCUGACGCUGAGGCGCGAAGGCGUGGGGAGCGAACGGG